rnacentral:rRNA from 1 species
AUUGAACGCUGGCGGCAGGCCUAACACAUGCAAGUCGCACGAGUGGCGGCCGGGUGAGUAAUGUCUGGGAAACUGCCUGAUGGAGGGGGAUAACUACUGGCAACGGUAGCUAAUACCGCAUACCAUCGGAUGUGCCCAGAUGGGCUUAGCUUGGUGGUGGGGUAACGGCUCACCAAGGCGACGAUCCCUAGCUGGUCUGAGAGGAUGACCAGCCACACUGGAACUGAGACACGGGCCCGACUCCUACGGGAGGCAGCAGUGGGGAAUAGUGCACAAUGGGCGCAAGCCUGAUGCAGCCAUGCGGCGUGUGGGAAGAAGGCCUUCGGGUUGUAAAGUACUUGCAGCGGGGAGGCGUUACCCGCAGAAGAAGCACCGGCUAACUCCGUGCCAGCAGCCGCGGUAAUUC